CUUUUACAAUGAAGAGUUUGAUCCUGGCUCAGGAUGAACGCUAGCUACAGGCUUAACACAUGCAAGUCGAGGGGCAUCAGGGUGUAGCAAUACACCGCUGGCGACCGGCGCACGGGUGAGUAACACGUAUCCAACCUGCCCUUUACUCGGGGAUAGCCUUUCGAAAGAAAGAUUAAUACCCGAUGGUAUAACAUGACCUCCUGGUUUUGUUAUUAAAGAAUUUCGGUAGAGGAUGGGGAUGCGUUCCAUUAGGCAGUUGGCGGGGUAACGGCCCACCAAACCUUCGAUGGAUAGGGGUUCUGAGAGGAAGGUCCCCCACAUUGGAACUGAGACACGGUCCAAACUCCUACGGGAGGCAGCAGUGAGGAAUAUUGGUCAAUGGGCGAGAGCCUGAACCAGCCAAGUAGCGUGAAGGAUGACCGCCCUAUGGGUUGUAAACUUCUUUUAUAUGGGAAUAAAGUCUGCCACGUGUGGCAUUUUGUAUGUACCAUAUGAAUAAGGAUCGGCUAACUCCGUGCCAGCAGCCGCGGUAAUACGGAGGAUCCGAGCGUUAUCCGGAUUUAUUGGGUUUAAAGGGAGCGUAGGUGGACAUGUAAGUCAGUUGUGAAAGUUUGCGGCUCAACCGUAAAAUUGCAGUUGAUACUGCGUGUCUUGAGUACAGUAGAGGUGGGCGGAAUUCGUGGUGUAGCGGUGAAAUGCUUAGAUAUCACGAAGAACUCCGAUUGCGAAGGCAGCUCACUGGACUGCAACUGACACUGAUGCUCGAAAGUGUGGGUAUCAAACAGGAUUAGAUACCCUGGUAGUCCACACAGUAAACGAUGAAUACUCGCUGUUUGCGAUAUACAGUAAGCGGCCAAGCGAAAGCAUUAAGUAUUCCACCUGGGGAGUACGCCGGCAACGGUGAAACUCAAAGGAAUUGACGGGGGCCCGCACAAGCGGAGGAACAUGUGGUUUAAUUCGAUGAUACGCGAGGAACCUUACCCGGGCUUAAAUUGCAAAUGAAUAUGCCGGAAACGGCAUAGCCGCAAGGCAUUUGUGAAGGUGCUGCAUGGUUGUCGUCAGCUCGUGCCGUGAGGUGUCGGCUUAAGUGCCAUAACGAGCGCAACCCUUAUCUUCAGUUACUAACAGGUUAUGCUGAGGACUCUGGAGAGACUGCCGUCGUAAGAUGUGAGGAAGGUGGGGAUGACGUCAAAUCAGCACGGCCCUUACGUCCGGGGCUACACACGUGUUACAAUGGGGGGUACAGAAGGCCGCUACACAGCGAUGUGAUGCCAAUCCCUAAAGCCCCUCUCAGUUCGGAUCGAAGUCUGCAACCCGACUUCGUGAAGCUGGAUUCGCUAGUAAUCGCGCAUCAGCCACGGCGCGGUGAAUACGUUCCCGGGCCUUGUACACACCGCCCGUCAAGCCAUGGGAGCCGGGGGUACCUGAAGUACGUAACCGCAAGGAGCGUCCUAGGGUAAAACUGGUGACUGGGGCUAAGUCGUAACAAGGUAGCCGUACCGGAAGGUGCGGCUGGAACACCUCCUUU
rnacentral:rRNA from 1 species